rnacentral:rRNA from 1 species
GACGAACGCUGGCGGCGUGCUUAACACAUGCAAGUCGAACGGAAAGGCCUUUUCGGAGGUACUCGAGUGGCGAACGGGUGAGUAACACGUGGGUGAUCUGCCCUGCACUCUGGGAUAAGCCUGGGAAACUGGGUCUAAUACCGGACAGGACCGCACUUUAGAGUGCGGGGUGGAAAGUUUUUUCGGUGUAGGAUGGGCCCGCGGCCUAUCAGCUCGUCGGUGGGGUAAUGGCCUACCAAGGCGGCGACGGGUAGCCGGACAGAGAGGUUGGUCGGCCACACAGGGACUGGGGUACGACCAAGACACCUACGAGAGGCAGCAGUGGGGAGAAUUGCACAAUGGGCGCAAGCCUGAUUCAGCGACGCCGCGUGGGGGAUGACGGCCUUCGGGUUGUAAACUCCUUUCGCCGGGGACGAAGCGUUUUGUGACGGUACCUGGAGAAGAAGCACCGGCUAACUACGUG